UCAAAAGCCUACAAACUUACCCCAAGAAAUAGAUUUCUGUUGUUUGCUGCGCUACACCUGAGGACUCAAGAGUGUGCUCCUGGGUCCAGGGCCUGCAAAGGCAGCAUUUUCCCCUUGAGGAUGCAUAUAUGAUGCCAUUCGAUUGAUGGCUUCAGUCCAGAGCUGGCUACUAUGUGAGUGGGCAUUUGCCAGAGAGAGGCAGUGUCAUAACGGCAUUUAGGAAUGAACACUCUAGAGCCAGAUAACUUGGAUUUGAAUCCCUGUUGUACCAUGUUUCAGCUGUGGAACCUUGGAGCAUGCCUUCGUUGAGCUGAGACCCAGGCUUCUCUGACAAACUCUGUUGAGGAAACUGGAAAUGAUCUACUAAAGAAUAUAGAUCGCUGAGUCUGAUGUUGUACGAAACUCAUAAUACCUGACUGGGGAAAAAAAAAAACCAAUGUAGGAAAAAAGUUCCAGGAGGAGGCUAUGGCUCUGGCUGCCACCACCGGUUGAGCUGGUCAGCAGGAAGUUUGACGUGCCAGAAAAACAAGGGAGGGAACAAGAAAGGCAUUUUUCCAACUUAUCCAGAUGCCUCGGAGCCUAGAGUUGAUUGGCUGAAGAGAACUGAUUUGAGUGAGUCUAUCUUUACUGGUCUAUAUUAGAUAUGGUAGGCUACAUGAUGCUAUAACAAACAAACCCCCAAAUCUCAGUGGCUUACCAUGGUAAAAGUUUAUUCUUCUGCUUACACAAAGUCCAUUGCGUGCUCAGAAGGUAACUUCUGUGGGACUCUCCUUCAAUUCCAUAGAUUCUGGGAUCCAGCUCCUUCUCUCAAGGGCCUUGGCUCUUCCCUGGGCUUUCUCUGCGGUCCCUCUGGUGGGAUAAACAAAGAGGGAGGAUUAAUUGGCAUGUUUUGGAGCCAGGCCUAGGAGUGGCAAUCUUUGCUUCUGCCACAUUUUGUUGUCCAGAACUUAGUCACAUGGGAAGCUGUUUACCCUGGAGAAGGAAACAAUCUGUGUGAACAUACAGCCAUCCCGAUACACCACCUAUUGACUGUCUGAGCAGAGA
rnacentral:lncRNA from 1 species